ensembl:lncRNA
GAGACAUAGGGUGCGUUCAUAAAUUCACUCUGGCUAUCUACUCCGAUUUCAGAGCACUCUCGCCAGACCACAGUAUAACUGCUGAAUUUACGAAUGCUCACCAGUUGAAUAUGGCCGGUGUCAGUAAACGUUGGCAAAAUGCGUAAUUAUAUUGUUGCCAAUAGCACAGUUACAGUCACCAACGCUCUGGAUAACACGAAAACAGCCUAAUCAGCUCUACUUGGCAGGGAGACAUGCAGUACCAGCAAAUCUUCUGCAAGAGAACCAAACAGUUGGUGGUUAUGAAGCCCUACACCACUUUCGGCAGUCUUAUCCAGCUGGCUGUUCAUCUCAGUACGGACAGAGAUUAUCACACUACUGUCAAUGGGCUGGAAUAAGAGGAAGUUCACCAACAUGGAUCGCAUGUAACACUCGUCUGAAGAAGUGGACCAUAAUCAUAUUCUUUAAUGAUAACCACAAAAAGAAGAGAGAGAGAACCAACGAAACGUACAGCCUUGAAGGGCUCAACAGCAACAAUACAAGGACAAGAUCCUACAACAUAGAAUGUCAAAAGACUGGAGGAGACCAGCCUCGCAAAAAGCGGGAAGAGCUAGACAUCAACACCGCUGUGCUACAGGAGUGGAUUACUGAGGUCCAGCAGUGGCCUGAUGGUGGGAGUUGCCUAAGUCUAGGAACCUCAUGGGCGUGGAAGUGUGUAUGGGAUAGGACUGUAGUCAGAUGGUUUUCGGGGUGGGCCCCCUAUGGCCCCCCUCCCAGCAGUGUCUUCUCUCCAACUGCUGACGUUAUCUUGAGUUGAGUUCCACAUCCCUCAUUGUCCUAAUUCCACAGCAACUGGCCUGCCUUAUCAGUAACUGAAACCUAACUGCUACCCUUUGCCUCUUUACUUAGAAAUAUUAAUAUUCAGCAAUAACAUGUUUGAAUAGAAUAAGAACUUUCUGCACUUCCCUUGUCUCACUCAGUAACUUUCCAUACCCAAAGUUCCUAUUCACCCUUCAUUGACACCUAACAUGUAAAGUAAUCAAUACGUUCUAAUAUGAUGACAGGAAUAAGUAUGUUUCAAGCCAGAAUCCAACAGGUAGAAAAAUGACCGUUUCUGUCUCAACUUCAUAAUUGCAUUAAUGUCAGUGGAGUCAUGUUUGACAGACACACUUCAGGAUCGUCAGACGGGGCAUCUCCAGAAGAAGCUUGAAGGGCUUUACCACAGUGUGAAAGAGGAAACUACUUCUACCAUUUGACAGGUAAGCCCCAACAACAGUAUGACCUCAAACAUAUUAUUAAUCAAGCAGUAAAAGUGAGUUGUGAAAGAGAAUGCAUUAGUCAUACACAUCAGACCAUGUUAAUGAUCAAAUGUAGGUAUGACCUAUGUUAUUAAUUGAUCUAAUGCAAAACAUGUAAUUAAACUGAGAAAUUAUGUGACCAUGAACCUCUUGUGAGCCACACCUCUGCAUGCCUUGUGUAAUGUUAACUACAUGACGACAAAUGCUUUGGAAAUGAGUUGCUUGCUUUGUAUUCUUUGUUUGUGCCUCUAUAGUAGCUCUAACUUAUAGUCAUGUAAUAUAUCUGAAUAUACAGUCCAUCUAAUCACCCUUUUUAUUUUGACGGCAACAAGAGGCGGCAUCUGAUUCUGAGAAAUUGAGGACAAAGCAGCCUUGACAGCUGCCAUUGUUCAACUUCACGAGCAGCAGGCAGAGUUUAGGCUCCCCACAGUGGAUGAGCAGCUCAAUACUGAUAACUUUGUGUGGCCAUGGGAGAGACUUGGCACCAGUAAAUAUAUGAUUGCAGAAAGUAUCUUUUGUUAUUGAAUGUUUACCUUCAGCGUAGGCUGCAAUCAUUGCUGUUCUGUUAUAUACCUCUGGGUUUACAGCUCACAGGCAACUGCCAUCAAAAGGCAAUCUUCAACAGACUGAUGUUAGUGAACAGACUGCAGGAGGAAGAGAGGAUCCUGGUCCGGGAGAUGAAGAGGCACUGGGGGAGCCUACAAAGAGCAGUGGGAACUGUGGCGGCACUGUACCUACAAGAUAAGUUGAGGUAAUGCAGUGGAGUUUUCAGAGGGAGGGAAGAAUGGCCUUCUCUGCCACCCGAAGAGAAGAUUGAGUGAACUGACACAAGACCAAGUUGACACCAGGAAUACCUACCACAAGCUGAUUCUGGGAGAAGGGGAUAUUUUUUUAUGACUGAUGUAGGUGAGAACUCCGAUGAAGAUAGAAGUUCUAUUGCUGAGAGCUCAGAUGACAACUGCUAUGCUUUCUGAAAUCCUACACCACCCCUGCCUCUUUCUCUCGGUCUCACUUUCUUCCGCAGGAGAGGGAGAAGGCCGCCAACCACCUCCCUUGGGAGCAGCCUGGUCUCCUGACGUUGACCCCUCACCUUCUGAACCCAUCCAGGGAAAUGUAAUUUGCCUGAUGAUGUGCUAGUGGAGAAGGAAUGUGUCAUGUUUCCUCUCCUCACCACCUCUCUUCCGGUCCUAGACUAUGGCAACAUCAUCUGCAACUCAUACUGUUGGUUGAGGACCUCUUACUGAGGAAUGUGGUUCUUCAUUAUUAUUUAUCUGUAUUUACUACAAGUAUUUUCUAUGCUGCCAUGAUUGGGGUUUUUGUGAGUUGCAAAAGAGUCCUUGAUCUCAAUGGGACUGCUAAAAUAAAUAAAGGUCUUAACAAAUAAAUAAAUGC